GUCCAGAAAGUAAAAAACCUCAGAAAUGUUCCACCAGUAAAAAAAUCAUAGGUUUUUGGCCAAGAAAACCAACAUGUCAACCUUGUGUGGCUUCAGUAGGGACCGCUUGGCCGUAACAAUGUUACCAGCGACACUGAAAAGUCGUUCGGAUGCAGAGCUUGUGCCACAAACACACAAGUAUUUGGUAAUGGUAAUGGUUUAUUAACACAUUUAGUAGUAGUUACGCUAAUUUACAAUGUGUUUACAAAUUUGAGUAUAAAAAUGUAUAUAUAUAUUAUAUAUUUACAUGUCAUUCAUUAAAAUUAAAGUUUUACUAAUCUAUAUCUAUUUACAAUAUGUAUAAAAACUACUAAUGUAUAAAAACUACUAAUGCAUACCUAUUUGUACAUUGACUGAUAAAAUUUUAAGCUGCUCGACGUUUGUCGGGUUUUGUCUUGGCAAUUUUGCUUGACUCGACGGGAUGGUGAUCUUUGAUAUGUUGACGUAAAUUGGACGUAUUUCCCCCAGCAGCACGGACUUUCCUUAGGCAAAGCUUGCAUGUCGGCAGAUCGUUGUCGUUUUCGUCUUCCUUGUAUCCGAAAUAUUGCCAGACAAGAGAGGUAGAGGCCCCAGAAACCUUUUUAGAUCGCAAAC
rnacentral:lncRNA from 1 species